rnacentral:rRNA from 1 species
UUUAUGGAGAGUUUGAUCCUGGCUCAGAGUGAACGCUGGCGGCGUGCCUAAUACAUGCAAGUCGAACGAUGAAGCUUCUAGCUUGCUAGAAUGCUGAUUAGUGGCGCACGGGUGAGUAACGCAUAGGUCAUGUGCCUCUUAGUUUGGGAUAGCCAUUGGAAACGAUGAUUAAUACCAGAUACUCCCUACGGGGGAAAGAUUUAUCGCUAAGAGAUCAGCCUAUGUCCUAUCAGCUUGUUGGUAAGGUAAUGGCUUACCAAGGCUAUGACGGGUAUCCGGCCUGAGAGGGUGAACGGACACACUGGAACUGAGACACGGUUCAGACUCCUACGGGAGGCAGCAGUAGGGAAUAUUGCUCAAUGGGGGAAACCCUGAAGCAGCAACGCCGCGUGGAGGAUGAAGGUUUUAGGAUUGUAAACUCCUUUUGUUAGAGAAGAUAAUGACGGUAUCUAACGAAUAAGCACCGGCUAACUCCGUGCCAGCAGCCGCGGUAAUACGGAGGGUGCAAGCGUUACUCGGAAUCACUGGGCGUAAAGAGCGCGUAGGCGGGAUAGUCAGUCAGGUGUGAAAUCCUAUGGCUUAACCAUAGAACUGCAUUUGAAACUACUAUUCUAGAGUGUGGGAGAGGUAGGUGGAAUUCUUGGUGUAGGGGUAAAAUCCGUAGAGAUCAAGAGGAAUACUCAUUGCGAAGGCGACCUGCUGGAACAUUACUGACGCUGAUUGCGCGAAAGCGUGGGGAGCAAACAGGAUUAGAUACCCUGGUAGUCCACGCCCUAAACGAUGGAUGCUAGUUGUUGGAGGGCUUAGUCUCUCCAGUAAUGCAGCUAACGCAUUAAGCAUCCCGCCUGGGGAGUACGGUCGCAAGAUUAAAACUCAAAGGAAUAGACGGGGACCCGCACAAGCGGUGGAGCAUGUGGUUUAAUUCGAAGAUACACGAAGAACCUUACCUAGGCUUGACAUUGAGAGAAUCCGCUAGAAAUAGUGGAGUGUCUAGCUUGCUAGACCUUGAAAACAGGUGCUGCACGGCUGUCGUCAGCUCGUGUCGUGAGAUGUUGGGUUAAGUCCCGCAACGAGCGCAACCCCCUUUCUUAGUUGCUAACAGGUCAUGCUGAGAACUCUAAGGAUACUGCCUCCGUAAGGAGGAGGAAGGUGGGGACGACGUCAAGUCAUCAUGGCCCUUACGCCUAGGGCUACACACGUGCUACAAUGGGGUGCACAAAGAGAAGCAAUACUGCGAAGUGGAGCCAAUCUUCAAAACACCUCUCAGUUCGGAUUGUAGGCUGCAACUCGCCUGCAUGAAGCUGGAAUCGCUAGUAAUCGCAAAUCAGCCAUGUUGCGGUGAAUACGUUCCCGGGUCUUGUACUCACCGCCCGUCACACCAUGGGAGUUGUGUUUGCCUUAAGUCAGGAUGCUAAAUUGGCUACUGCCCACGGCACACACAGCGACUGGGGUGAAGUCGUAACAAGGUAACCGUAGGUGAACCUGCGGUUGGAUCACCUCCUUUCUAGA